AUCCAGCUGACGAGUCCAUAAUAGGAUGAAACGCGUGUCAAACUGGAU
rnacentral:hammerhead_ribozyme from 1 species